UAAGCGGAGGAAAAGAAACCAACAGGGAUUGCCUUAGUAGCGGCGAGUGAAGCGGCAAAAGCUCAAAUUUGAAAUCUGGCACUUUCAGUGUCCGAGUUGUAAUUUGAAGAAGGUAUCUUUGGGUCUGGCUCUUGUCUAUGUUUCUUGGAACAGAACGUCACAGAGGGUGAGAAUCCCGUGCGAUGAGAUGUCCCAGACCUAUGUAAAGUUCCUUCGAAGAGUCGAGUUGUUUGGGAAUGCAGCUCUAAGUGGGUGGUAAAUUCCAUCUAAAGCUAAAUAUUGGCGAGAGACCGAUAGCGAACAAGUACAGUGAUGGAAAGAUGAAAAGAACUUUGAAAAGAGAGUGAAAAAGUACGUGAAAUUGUUGAAAGGGAAGGGCUUGAGAUCAGACUUGGUAUUUUGUAUGUUACUCUCUCGGGGGUGGCCUCUACAGUUUACCGGGCCAGCAUCAGUUUGAGCGGUAGGAUAAGUGCAAAGAAAUGUGGCACUGCUUCGGUAGUGUGUUAUAGUCUUUGUCGAUACUGCCAGCUUAGACUGAGGACUGCGGCUUCGGCCUAGGAUGUUGGCAUAAUGAUCUUAAGUCGCCCGUCUU
rnacentral:rRNA from 1 species